UACGUAGGGUGCGAGCGUUGCCCGGAUUUAUUGGGCGUAAAGGGCGCGUAGGCGGCCACGCACGUCCGUUGUGAAAUCGCCCGGCUCAACUGGGCGGGGUCAGCGGAUACGGUGUGGCUCGAGCAAGCUAGGGGGCAAUGGAAUUCCCGGUGUAGUGGUGGAAUGCGUAGAUAUCGGGAGGAACACCAGUGGCGAAGGCGGUUGCCUGGAGCUUUGCUGACGCUGAGGCGCGAAAGCGUGGGGAGCGAGUCCGG
rnacentral:rRNA from 1 species